GUUUUAUUAAAAGAAAAAGGGGUGAAAAGAACAAAGUUUUGUCCAUCUUUGUUCAUCAUAGCUGAAAGUUAGAAAAGAGAAAGGAGAGGAGAAAACUCUUGAGUAUUUGGUCAUUAGGAGGAGGAAAAUUGAAGGCGGUUCGUGUGUGGAUCUCAUCAACAUAUCGUCGCAAACAGGUGAGUCUUGAUGUGGGUGACUUGGAGCCGAGGAUUCAGAGUGGCCAUUGUGAACACUUUUGGGUUUGAAAAAGAGACUGGUUUUCUUAAGUUAUUUUUAAUUACUAUUUAAGUUUUGGGUUGUAAUAAGGCCAUUUUAACUUUAUUUUCUUCUUUGAUUUUCCGAGAUUAUAUUAUUUUAAACAA